UUUUUUGUUAGUUUUUGUUUGAUUGUUUCCAUUUAGUGAAUUAUUCAGUGAUUUCUACGUACUAGUUGUCAUAUAAAGAUUUUUGUUCUCGUUAUGAUGGCAGUACAGCAAAUCACUCAAGGCAUGCUAUGACAUGAAUUCACUUUUUUACCACUUGGGAGAGUAUCAAAAUCCUACGUUGAAAAUGGACUAGAAGAUACUGAUAAUAAUAAUGGUUUUUUGCAAUAUUGCAGUACAGUAGAUCACUCAAGGCAUGCUAUGACAUGAAUUAAAAUUUUUACCACGUGGGAAAAUUACAACAUCCUACGUUGAAAAUUAACUAGAGGAUACUGAUAAUGAUAAUGGUUUUAUGCAAUGUACGCGUAAUGGUUAUUAAAUGUAAUUGAAAGUAAAUUAAUAGUAGUGUAACAAUUGAAGUUUGUUAAAAAUCUGAAUAAAGGAUUGGUAAACAACUUUAGUUGUAAUUUUCAUUCAUAAAAUUUGCCUUAGCAAAAAUUAAAAUUAUUUUGUACCAUUCUACCUAUAACUUAUUUUAUCUGUUUUUGUUUUUACUUUUAUUGUAUACAAUUAGGAUGUUAAUUUCAAAUACAAAUAUUGUGAAUAUCUGUUAAUUAUAAUUUUUAUGUAAAUGUGUAAUGUAUAGUAGAUAACCCUGGGCCUCCACACGAGUAUGUCUCAGUGAAGCCCAGUAAUCUCGUAGAGAUAA